GGCCAGUUAGCUCAGUUGGUUAGAGUGUGGUGCUUAUAACACCAAGAUUGCUGGUUCGAUCCCCACAUGGGCCA